UAGAGAAAUUCCCGGUUGAGUGUCCACAACCUAUCGGUUGUUUAGAAAAGCAAGGCUAGGGGGCUAAGGAAAUAGGCUUGAGAACCACAAAGGGCCCAUCUCUUUGUUUCCAGGCUCUGUUCAGGGUCUGUAGCUCAGUUGGUUAGAGCACACGCUUGAUAAGCGUGGGGUCGGUGGUUCAAGUCCACCCAGACCCACCAACUCAAGGGGGGUGUAGCUCAGAUGGGAGAGCACCUGCUUUGCAAGCAGGGGGUCAUCGGUUCGAUCCCGUUCACCUCCACCAUCAGCAACGCAAUCACCUAAUUAGAAGCCAGAAGUAAACGGAAGGGUUUACUUCUGGUUUUUAACCAGCGGCUGUAUUUCGGGAACAUUUGAAGUUCUCGGGUUGUCUUAUGCAAUCCGAAUCUUCUGCAUUCGGUUCCCGGCGUUCUUUAACAAUCUGGAAGAAGUAAAUAUUUCGUAUCAACGGAUACGUUGCCCUUGAUUGGGCUCGUGUUCCGGGGAAACGGAAUAAUGGGUUAGAUUGUAUCGACGCGUCGCAUUUUUAGUCGGAUGCGAUGCGCGCGAACACCUGUAGCCGUUGGUUUGGAAGAUGAAGAGCGUUCGGAUUUUGUAAAACGCGAUUCUGAUUCCCAAGCCCUUAAGGUUAUAG
rnacentral:misc_RNA from 1 species